rnacentral:rRNA from 1 species
GGUUUAAUUCGAUGACAACCGAAGAACCUUACCUGGGUUUGACAUGUGCGUGUUACUGAGGUGAAAGCCGAGGGACCAUAUCUUCGGAUGUGGAGCGUACACAGGUGCUGCAUGGCUGUCGUCAGCUCGUGUCGUGAGGUGCUAGGUUAAGUCCUGCAACGAGCGCAACCCUCGUCGCUAGUUGUUUUCUCUAGCGAUACUGCCCGUAUAACGUGGAGGAAGGUGGGGAUGACGUCAAGUCAGCAUGGCCCUUACAUCCUGGGCUACACACACGCUACAAUGGGUGAUACAACAGGUUGCAAUAGAGUAAUCUGGAGCCAAUCCCUAAAAUCAUCCUCAGUACGGAUUGCAGGCUGCAACUGCCUGCAUGAAGUUGGAGUUGCUAGUAAACGCAGGUCAGCACACUGCGUUGAAUACGUUCUCGGGCCUU